GUGGGGGCAGGAGCAUGGGUCUUAACCACUAGACCGCCAGGGAAGUCCCUGAUUUAGUGAUUUAAAGUCUGUUUCAGUUUGAAAACUGCUUGUUUGUUUUUUGUCUGCACCGGGUCUUCAUGUGGCAUUUACUGGGGCAGUCCCCGGGUCUGAUGGUGGCACCGGGUCUUUGUGUGGCAUUCACUGGGGCAGUCCCCGGGUCUGAUGGUGGCCCUGUGGACUUCAUUGUGGCGUCUGUGUCAGUUGUGGCAUGUGAAACUCUGAGUUGCGGCAUGUAGGAUCUAGUUCCCUGGCCAGGGAUCGAACCUGGGCCCUCUGCAUUGGGAGUGCAGUCUUAGCCUCUGGACCACCAGGGAAGUCCCACAGCCGCUAUUCUUGAUGCUCCAAAACCGACGCAGAUGUCGUCUCCUUCAGACCCUCUCCUUUGUGCCUUUGACAUGAUCUCAUUAAUAUACUAGUUUUUUGAGGACUUUCUUGCCUUCUCAACAGCCAGCUGUCCCAGUUUUGCUUUAAAUUUUCCCAGCUUUGGCCAUGGAACUAGCCAUUUCUCUAAAUAGCUCUAGGGCCUUUUAGUGGGAAAUGGUGUUUGAAACUAAGAUCUGGGAGCUAGGUAUGCUCAUUGUUACUGGGUUGUCCUUGUCUGUAAGUCCCUUUAGUCAACAGAACUAUAAAAUACUUUUUAUUGUUAAAUCAUAAGUUCCUAUUGGUAUUUCCAAUUCAGAAUUAACCUGUUUUUUCUUUUACAUUUCAUUUUCUCUUUAAUAAAAAAAAUCUUGCUUUCUAUUGAUAAUACUGUUCCUUACUUGCUUCAUUCUGCAGGCAUCAUAUGUUUUAGAAUUAUAGUAAUUGGUAUUCUUCAUUAAUUCUUAGUUUACUUUAGUCUCUAGAAUAGAGGUUAAGAUGUCUUGGGAAUUCUCUGGUGGUCCAGUGACUGGACUCUGGGCUUUCCCUGACAUGGGCCUGGUUUCAGGAAACUAAGACUCCACACGCUGCAUGGCAUGACGCCUCCCAAAGGUUUGAGACGCCUUUGGGGUGUGUCUUUUGUUCCUUAGGAUUUCUCCCCCUAAAGAUGUGUGGUCAGGGUAUCAUGUUCACAAUGAGCUUGAGAUCACUGUAUUCUUUGUAUGGUACUCUAAACACAUGAUACAGUUAGAUUAACUUCUCUGUUCGGUGUUUGGGUGUGCUGCUUCUGUUUUUGGUUUGC
rnacentral:tRNA from 1 species